GAAGCAGGUUAAUAUUCCUGCACUUUUGAUAACUGCGAUGGGGUGACGAAGAAGGUUAGGUAGGCCUGGCGUUGGUUGUCCAGGUUCAAGCGUGUAGGCUGAUCCCUUAGGCAAAUCCGGGGGAUCAAGGCCGAGACGUGACGUCGAGCUCUCUUUUGAGCGAAGCUAUUGAUACCACGCUUCCAGGAAAAGCCUCUAAGCUUCAGGUUAUCGAAAACCGUACCCCAAACCGACACAGGUGGUCAGGUAGAGAAUA
rnacentral:rRNA from 1 species